rnacentral:rRNA from 1 species
UAGAGUUUGGAUCCUGGCUCAGGACGAACGCUGGCGGCGUGCCUAAUACAUGCAAGUCGAGCGCAGGAAGUUAUCUGAUCCUCUUUUAGAGGUGACGAUAAUGGAAUGAGCGGCGGACGGGUGAGUAACACGUAGGCAACCUGCCUGUAAGACUGGGAUAACUCGUGGAAACGCGAGCUAAUACCGGAUAACACUUUUCAUCUCCUGAUGAGAAGUUGAAAGGCGGCUUUUGCUGUCACUUACAGAUGGGCCUGCGGCGCAUUAGCUAGUUGGUAAGGUAAUGGCUUACCAAGGCGACGAUGCGUAGCCGACCUGAGAGGGUGAUCGGCCACACUGGGACUGAGACACGGCCCAGACUCCUACGGGAGGCAGCAGUAGGGAAUCUUCCGCAAUGGACGAAAGUCUGACGGAGCAACGCCGCGUGAGUGAUGAAGGUUUUCGGAUCGUAAAAACUCUGUUGUUAGGGAAGAACCAAGUGCCAUAGUAACUGAUGGC